rnacentral:lncRNA from 1 species
UCUGUCCUAUAUUUUCUCCCAUUUUUUUGUAAUGUAAUCCUGUCAGGUAAUAUUGUCAUUUUAAUGUUAAAUUUAUUAUUGCCAUUAAAGUGGAAGGUUUGGCAUGUCACAAAACCAGGUUCAAUCCACCAUUUUUUUUCUUAAAAUGUCCUGUACCAAGUCAGGAAAAUUGCCAUUGUUAUAUAAUAGUUCGUUUCUGUGUUUGUUACAUUUUAAUGUUGUAUUUCUGUUGUGUCGUAG